GACGAACGCUGGCGGCGUGCUUAACACAUGCAAGUCGAACGGAAAGGCCUCUUUCGGGGGGUACUCGAGUGGCGAACGGGUGAGUAACACGUGAGUAACCUGCCCUUGACUUUGGGAUAACUUCAGUAAACUGGGGCUAAUACCGGAUAGGAGCUCCUGCUGCAUGGUGGGGGUUGGAAAGUUUCGGCGGUUGGGGAUGGACUCGCGGCUUAUCAGCUUGUUGGUGGGGUAGUGGCUUACCAAGGCUUUGACGGGUAGCCGGCCUGAGAGGGUGACCGGCCACAUUGGGACUGAGAGACGGCCCAGACUCCUACGGGAGGCAGAAGUGGGGAAGAUUGCACAAUGGGUGGAAGCCUGAUGCAGCAACGCCGUGUGCGGGAUGACGGCCUUCGGGUUGUAAACCGAUUUCGCUCAUGACGAAGCUUUGUGUGACGGUAGUGGGUAAAGAAGCACCGGCUAACUACGUG
rnacentral:rRNA from 1 species